AUUGAACGCUGGCGGCAUGCCUUACACAUGCAAGUCGAACGGCAGCAUAGGAGCUUGCUCCUGAUGGCGAGUGGCGAACGGGUGAGUAAUAUAUCGGAACGUGCCCUAGAGUGGGGGAUAACUAGUCGAAAGACUAGCUAAUACCGCAUACGAUAUACGGAUGAAAGGGGGGGAGCGCAAGACCUCAUGCUACUGGAGCGGCGGAUAUCUGAUUAGCUAGUUGGUGGGGUAAAAGCUCACCAAGGCGACGAUCAGUAGCUGGUCUGAGAGGACGACCAGCCACACUAGGACUGAGACACGGCCCAGACUCCUACGGGAGGCAGCAGUGGGGAAUUUUGGACAAUGGGGGCAACCCUGAUCCAGCAAUGCCGCGUGAGUGAAGAAGGCCUUCGGGUUGUAAAGCUCUUUUGUCAGGGAAGAAACGGUUCUGGAUAAUACCUGGGACUAAUGACGGUACCUGAAGAAUAAGCACCGGCUAACUACGUGCCAGCAGCCGCCGUAA
rnacentral:rRNA from 1 species